rfam:Exidia glandulosa HHB12029 unplaced genomic scaffold EXIGLscaffold_452, whole genome shotgun sequence.
UCUCUUGUGCUCGGGCACGUACUGUCGACAGUGAGGGAAACCGAGUCACAGUUAUUUGCUAGUUGCAAACUUAUGUUCAACUUCGUCCGGACUUUCGGGUCUAGGCAAUUUUUGUCAAAACUCCCUCGGUU